AGCUGACAGUUGUGCCCCCUUUGCUGUUGCUUAUUGUGCUUGGCUGGCUCAUGUGCCGCAGGUUCUGUGAAAAUACGGCUUUGUAGAUACUUUGUUAUUUUGGAUGGUAGAAUUGUUACAUAUACAGGCUUACGUAUACAUGUGUAUAAAGCCAACUAUUUUCUUAUAAAAUAUAUGAAAGAAAGACUCAACAAAGACAUUGAUUGUGAAAAGUAUUUAUAUAAAUCUCACUUUUUUUUCAGCAAGUACAUAUAGGUUUCUGCCUAGAUUAUAGCCUACCAGAUUAAUUUAUUAAGUUCCCUGGGUACUGAGCAGUGUUAAGUGAGGCAGAACUGGCCAUAGCUCUGCAGUGUGUUUUCUGGGGACAAUAAAUAAAACAAGGAGGCCAUAUCUGAGUGGUCCAGUACUGCUGCUUACAGAGCUCAGUUAGGGCAGAUGCAGCAGGCACAGGCAGGACACACACACUGUGCAUCAGCACUUGGAAUAGCCAGGGAUGAGCAGUUUGAAUCAUUUUGAAUCUGAAAUCACCCUGGCUAAUGAUACAUUGUCUCAAAACAGGAGUAGCUUUCCUGGACACUUUCGAUCAGUGGUUCCCAACCUGUGGGUCAUGAUCUAUAGGGCUCAAAUGACUCUUUCACAGGGGUCAGAGGUCACCUAAGACCAUUGGAAAACACAGCUAUUUACUCUAUGACUCGUAACAGCAAAAGUAUAGUUAUGAAGUAACAACUAAAAUAAUUGUCUGGCUUCGGGUCACCACAAUAUGAGGGGCUGUAUUAAAGGGUCACAGCAUUAGGAAUGUUGAGAACUCUACUGUCAAGGUUUAGCAUCUGUAGAAGAAAGUGAAGCAGAAGAUGGGAAGCUGAUCAUGGUAGCAGAGAAGAACAGUCUCAAAGGUUGCUCUUUCAGGUCUGAGAGCCAGAGCAUCAAUGUUGUACGCAAAACUGAUUAAAGAGGAGCCUGCCAGGUAUAGAAACCAUGCUAGAGUUUUGUUCAGGAACUCCCCAGGUGUAGUUUAUAGUGUGAGCUGUGAGUGGGAACUGUGAGAGUUGAAAUAAGUAAUGACUGGUUUGAGGGCUAUCUGCUUUCCCUGCCCUCCCAAUAAGAUGCUUAUACACACUGUUUAACUUCUCGUAAGUAAGCCCACUCCCUAGCCUUCCAUAGGACCUGAAAGGAGGACCUGCAGUGGUUGACAGACAGUAGAUUCAGAGUGUAGGCACGGAAGGAGACUUUGUCUGCCGUUAGUUUGCCUAAACCCUUCACGAAAACUUUGAAAAGUACAAGUGGCAUGGAAAGCCCUCCAAUUGUAGAAGACUAAAGAACCAGGAUUAGCACAUGAGUAAGAGAUGCUCAGACCUGUUAGUGUCCUUCAGCAUGCUCAGGAACAUGCCCAUGGGCCACUUCAUCACAGGAGGUGGAGGGACCUGAUAAAGUGUUGGCUAGCCUAGUAGUAGAUUCCUGAGCUGGGAGAUGAAGUGUGGGUCCUCUGAGGAUGGACUGUAAAGGAACAGCACCAAACAUGCCGAAUGCCAUGGUCUCAGCAUUCACCUGCUCCAGGGCUUCAGAGGGGUGAGUAGAGCCAGGAGGGUUGAUCUGUGAGGAGGAAAAGGAGAAUCCCUGGUCAGAAGCACAAGUAGUGCAUGUCUCCUGACACCGCAGGGGCAGAGAGCAGCUUUAACCGGCUAAUAGAGUGCAUGCCUGCCUCAGAUCAAAUGAGGCAGAAAUUGUUGAGUACCUGAAGCUGACUUAAGAUAGGCUCACAGUGUCCGUCUGAGAGCAGUAAGGCCAACUGAGCAAGUCCAGGCUUUAGAACAAUUCUGUGUGGAAUAAGGGGUUCAGGAUGCUGAGGUCUGGUAAGAAAACAUUCUAUACCCAAGCACAUGGAACUAUGCCAAGCAAGCCUCCAGGGUUUCCUGAGGAAGUUGCCCUCUUCAUGGGGGGAUCUUCUGUGUGUGUGUUUGAAAGAAGGGGUUGUAGAAGGCUAAAGAAGCAACUGCCAGAACAACCAUUUAUAAGGACUGUAAACCACAUACCGAGUUUUUUAGAAACUUGAUAAAGGUUUGGCUAGUACAGCAAACAUGUAAAUGUGAUGUUGAUAAAAAUCCUCUGCUCCCUUAAGACAAUAAAACAGGAAAACAUGGCAGUUACCAUGAUUAGACUUGGGAACUGAUGCUGGGUGGUGGUCCUGGAAACAACAACCCACUGUAAUGUGAUUAAGAAUAGGACAGCCCAUGCUUUUGCCUGUGCAGCCUCUGCUCAUGGCAGCUUCCGUUCCCAGUGUCGUCCUCAGGUGUGGAGAGCAGAUGACAGGCCACAGAAUGUCACAAGUCUCACUUGGAAAUGGGAUUAGAGCAGACAGAGUGUGCUGCUGUUGUGUCCAGUAUCAUGCAAACCUCCAGUGUGCUUUGUUGACCUGUCUGAAGAUAAACAGAGGUUCCUUGUUGGCUGCUUUGGGUAUAUGGUACUAAGCAGGGACCGUGGUCAGGUCAUUUAAGCACAGGGAUUACAGUAUUUGGAAGCAGGCUCUGGGGUAGGUUAAAUUAUAAUUCAGAUAAGCUUCUCAGCCAGCCACAGGGGUCUGGAGCCUCCAGUGGUAACUAUGUCAGCCAUGCUUGUCUUGAUAUCCCCAUCUGUGGACUUCAUUUUGGGGGUGACAGUUUAGUAUCCUAAUAUGAGUAUACUGUAUUAAACCAGUGGCAGAUUUCCUGGAGAUUUUAACAGGAAAGGUUGAUCUAUUCAAUUUUCUCUUGACCUGGGUUAGUGAUUUUACCCAUUUCAUAAAGCUUAGGCUUAAGGACCUUCUAGAGAUCUGUGGUUUGGCCUCAGAAUCCUUUCAUGUUGAAAUGUAAUUGGCAUGGAUUAGUGCUUAAUCCAUGCUUCACCUCGGGCUCUUUGUGUUUACAUUUUCAUGGAUAGAUUUGCCUUGAUGGCUAUUUUUGAAAUUUGUGUAUUUAAUGAGUUACAGAGAUUUUAUCCCUGAUAUUAUACUGUUCUUAUGGUUUUUAUCAGGCUUCUAUUACUUAUGUCUCCCCUGGGUCUUUCAUCUUGGGUCAGUGGUUCUGUAGCAGUUUGAGAGUCCAGAGAUCUUUGGAAUUUAAGUCCCAGCAGUUUCCCAUCCUGUUAAAGCCUGUCUUCUUCUGUGAAGUCUUGUGCUGUGGGCGCCCCCUGCAGGCUUUUCUGCAUAUUGCUUCCAUCCCUUGCCCUCAUGACCAUGGACUGUACCAUCCAUCAGUCCUCUGGGUGGUUGCUGCAUGGUUAUCUGGUGCCUGUGCUGAUGGACUCAUUUAACUGAGGGAGGCUUUGCUACUGUUGUAUCCAUCUCAGCACUGUGGAACAAAGGCACAGGCUAACUUGCUGUGAUAGAGAGAAACUGUAAUGCCUUUAAUAACAAACGGGCUGGGGCUUCUGAGUCCAUCCCCUAGAACAGUGGUUCUCAACCUGUGGGUCACGGCCCUUUGGCAUUUGACCCUUCCACAGGGGUGGCCUAAGACCAUCAGAAAACAGAUCUUACAUUAGAAAAUUACAGUUAUGAAGUAGCAACAAAAAUCAUUUUAUGAUUGGGGGUCACCCCAACAUGCAGAGCUGUAUAUUGAAGGGUCACAGCAUUGGAAAGAUUGAGAACCGCUGUUCUAGAAGAAAGAAAAA